CUGUCCUAGUGGCGAACGGGUGAGUAACACGUGGAUGACCUGCCCCAAAGUGGGGAAUAGCCCCGGGAAACUGGGAGUAAUACCUCAUGUGAUCAUGGUUUUUAGAAAGCCAUGAUGAAAGGAUUUAUUCGCUUUGGGAGGGGUCUGCGAUCCAUCAGCUAGUUGGUAGGGUAAUGGCCUACCAAGGCGACGACGGAUAGGGGGCCUGAGAGGGUGGCCCCCCACAAUGGAACUGAAACACGGUCCACACACCUACGGGUGGCAGCAGUAGGGAAUAUUGCCCAAUGGGCGAAAGCCUGAGGCAGCAACGCCGCGUGCGCGAUGAAGGCCUUCGGGUUGUAAAGCGCUUUUCUGAGGGAAGAGGAAGGACGGUACCUCAGGAAUAAGUCUCGGCUAACUACGUGCCAGCAGCCGCGGUAAAACGUAGGAGGCGAGCGUUAUCCGGAUUUACUGGGCGUAAAGCGCGUGCAGGCGGUUUGGUAAGUCGGACGUGAAAGCUCCUGGCUCAACUGGGAGAGGCCGUUCGAUACUGCUAAACUUGACGGCAGUAGAGGGAGGUGGAAUUUCGGGUGUAGCGGUGAAAUGCGUAGAUAUCCGAAGGAACACCAGUGGCGAAAGCGGCCUCCUGGGCUGUCCCUGACGCUAAGACGCGAAAGCUAGGGUAGCAAACGGGAUUAGAAACCCCGGUAGUCCUAGCCAUAAACGAUGUAGACUUGGUGUCGGUAGUUUAAAUACUAUCGGUGCCGAAGCUAACGCGAUAAGUCUACCGCCUGGGGACUACGGCCGCAAGGCUAAAACUCAAAGGAAUUGACGGGGCCCCGCACAAGCAGCGGAGCGUGUGGUUUAAUUCGAGGCUACGCGAAGAACCUUACCUGGGUUUGACAUAUACGUAGUAGGGAACUGAAAAGGGACCGACCCUUCGGGGAGCGUAUACAGGUGCUGCAUGGCUGUCGUCAGCUCGUGUCGUGAGAUGUCCGGUUAAGUCCGGUAACGAGCGCAACCCUUAUCCUGUGUUACAAGUGUCACAGGAGACUGCCGGUAUAAAGCCGGGGGAAGGUGGGGAUGACGUCAAGUCAGCAUGGCCUUUAUAUCCAGGGCUACACACACGCUACAAUGGCUGGUACAAUGGGUCGCAAAACCGCGAGGUCGAGCCAAUCCUCAAGCCAGCCUCAGUUCAGAUUGUAGGCUGCAACUCCCCUGCAUGAAGUCGGAGUGCUA
rnacentral:rRNA from 1 species